AAAGGGUGAGUAGGCGGUAAUAUGUGUCAGAUGUAAAAGGCUAUGGCUUAACCAUAGUUAGCAUUUGAAACUGUAUUACUUGAGUGCAGGAGAGGUAAGUGGAAUUCCUAGUGUAGCGGUGAAAUGCGUAGAUAUUAGGAGGAACACCAGUGGCGAAGGCGACUUACUGGACUGUAACUGACGCUGAGUCACGAAAGCGUGGGUAGCAAACAGGUAUUAGAUACCCUGGUAGUCCACGCUGUAAACGAUGAGUGCUAGGUGUUGGGUAGCGAUAUUCAGUGCCGAAGUAAACACAAUAAGCACUCCGCCUGGGGAGUACGGUCGCAAGACUGAAACUCAAAGGAAUUGACGGGGACCCGCACAAGCAGCGGAGCAUGUGGUUUAAUUCGAAGCAACGCGAAGAACCUUACCAAGGCUUGACAUCCCCUUGACCGGCACAGAGAUGUGCCCUCUCUUCGGGAGCAAGGGUGACAGGUGGUGCAUGGUUGUCGUCAGCUCGUGUCGUGAGAUGUUGGGUUAAGUCCCGCAACGAGCGCAACCCUUAUCCUUAGUUGCCAGCAGGUUAAGCUGGGCACUCUAAGGAGACUGCCGAUGAUAAAUCGGAGGAAGGUGGGGAUGACGUCAAAUCAUCAUGCCCCUUAUGUCUUGGGCUACACACGUGCUACAAUGGUCGGUACAAAGGGCAGCGAAGGAGUGAUUCUGGAGCGAAUCCCAAUAAACCGAAUCCCAGUUCGGAUUGUAGGCUGCAACUCGCCUACAUGAAGUCGGAGUUGCUAGUAAUCGCGAAUCAGAACGUCGCGGUGAAUGCGUUCCCGGGUCUUGUACACACCGCCCGUCACACCAUGGAAGUUGGUAAUACCCAAAGUCGCUGAGCUAACCGCAAGGGGGCAGGCGCCUAAGGUAGGAUCAAUGACUGGGGUG
rnacentral:rRNA from 1 species